GCAGAGGUUACAGUGAGCCAAGAUUGCACCACUGCAGUCUGCCUGGGUGACAGAGCUAGACUCUGUCUCAAAAACAGAAAAACAAAAAAACAACUUUCCAGUGGCUUCUCACUGCUCUGAGAAUAAACUCCAGGCUCUUCCAUUGCAACCAACAGGAUCUGGUGAUUCGACCCCAGCCCCUCUUUCCAGGCCCUCAUCACCUUGAUCCUCCCUUAACCUAUCCUGCUCCAGCUGCACUGGCUGCCUUCCUAUUCCUCCAGCAUACCAAGAUUGUUUCUGCCACAGGGCCUUUGCAUCUGCUGUUCUCUUCGCCUGGACACCUCUUGGUUCUUUUUUUUUUUCCAAAAUCAUGCCACUGCACUCCAGCCUGGGUGACAGAGUGAGUCUCUGUCUCAAAAAAAAAAAAAAAAGAAAAAGAAAAAAAGUCAGUUGCAGUGGCUCACGCCUGUAAUCCCACUACUCGGGAGGCUGAGGCAGGAGAAUCGCUUGAGCCCGGGAGGCAGAGAUUGCAGUGAGCCAAGAUUGCACCACUGCACUCCAUCUGGGUGACAGAGCAAGACUCUGUCUCAAAAA
rnacentral:lncRNA from 10 species